UACGAAGGGGGCUAGCGUUGUUCGGAUUUACUGGGCGUAAAGCGCACGUAGGCGGAUUUGUAAGUCAGGGGUGAAAUCCCGGGGCUCAACCUCGGAACUGCCUUUGAUACUGCAAAUCUCGAGUCCGGAAGAGGUGAGUGGAAUUCCUAGUGUAGAGGUGAAAUUCGUAGAUAUUAGGAAGAACACCAGUGGCGAAGGCGGCUCACUGGUCCGGUACUGACGCUGAGGUGCGAAAGCGUGGGGAGCAAACAGGG
rnacentral:rRNA from 1 species